AGUUAGUGUUUUUGUGUAUGUGUGUGUGUGUGUGUGUGUGUCGUGGAGGAGUGAACUGUGCCUGUCCUUGUGGGUGUAUGACGAACCAGGCUGUUGCCACGGUGACGGUGGUGGUGGGCAUGAUACAGAUGCGGGAGCUGGAGUUUGUGCCCGAUGGAGACAUGCAGCUGGACAAAUUCUGUUGCUCAUUGCUCAGACUGGAGUUUACAUGUAUACCUCCUUCACCAUCAUUGGUGGACACUUCACCAUGAGUGAUGCUUGAGCUGUCACGGUGCUGCUGCUGUUGUCUGCCAUCAUCCCCCUGACACAGACCACCCUGCAGACCACCUUCAUCCUGGGUGCCACAUGUCACUGCUGCUACAACUCAGAGCAACUGGAGCGCAAGCCAGGAAGGGAGAUAGUAACUUUUCACUUAAUUUGUUGUUUAUUUGAGGGCCUAAUGACAGACACAUAAUGGAAUGAGUAUUUGUGAAUGUUUGUUUAUAUCUAGAUACAGCAUUCACAUAUCUUUUAAGUGCCACCUUCCAAAAACAAUGUCAGCCAGAAAAAUAACUGAUGAAUCUAAUUACAUUUCAAGUCAAAAAGUUUUCCUUUAACCACUUUGCUCCAGAUGCUUAAAAACAUGCGUUGCUCACAUACAUGGCGUCGCGUAGGCUCGUGAGUGGUAACUUAUCUAAUUUCUAAUAAUUUCUAAUAUAAUUUCUGUGUGUGUGUGUGUGUGUGUGUGUGUGUGUGUGUGUGUGUGUGUGUGAGUGACACUGGCCAAGGGCAACAAAAAUCCAAUAAAAAAAUAUGCCCACUGAAAUGGCAGUCCCAUAAAAGGGUCAAAGCAGUGGUCAAAAGUUGAUGAAUAAGUGUCUUGAAACCUCCCUCUUGAAGGAAUUCAAGUCAUAGGAAGGUGGAAAUACAGAAGCAGGCAGGGAGUUCCAGAGUUUACCAGAGAAAGGGAUGAAUGAUUGAGAAUACUUGUUAACUCUUGCAUUAGAGAAGUGGACAGAAUAGGGGUGAGAGAAAGAAGAAAAUCUUGUGCAGCGAGGCCGUGGAAGGAGGGGAGGCAUGCAGUUAGCAAGAUCAGAAGAGCAGUUAGCAUGAAAAUAGCGGUAGAAGACAGCUAGAGAUGCAACAUUGCGGCGGUGAGAGAGAGGCUGAAGACAGUCAGUUAUGUUUGUGUGUGUGUGUGUGUGUGUGUGUGUGUGUGUGUGUGUGUGUGUGUGUGUGUGUGCGCUGAUGCAGCUGAGAAGGUUGCCUUAUGAUAAUUAUUGACAAAUGAAGGUAAUGGAUGCGCAUGUCAUUACUACUUUUUUAAGUGUGUGUGUAUGUGUGUGUGUUAUGUACACACACACACACACACACACAAAGAGAAGUAAUAGACACGCAUCCUUUACCUUCAUUCAUCAAUAAUUGUCAUAAGAUGACCUUCCCAGCUGCAUCAUUACACACACACACACACACACACACACACACACACACACACACACACUUACACACCACGUAGUGUAGUGGUUAGCACGCUCGGCUCACAACCAAGAAGGCCCAGGUUCGAAUCCCGGGCACAGUGAGGCAGAUGGACAAGCCUCUUAAUGUGUAGCCCUCUUAAUGUGUAGCCUCUUAAUGUGUAGGUACAGGAUGUAACCCGAGGUGAUGUGACUUCGCUGCCCUGGUGUGUGGUGUGUCAUUGGCCUCAGUCCUACCCAAAGAUCAGUCACCAUGAGCUCUGAGCUCUAACACACACACACACACACACACACACAGAGAGAGAGAGAGAGAGAGAGAGAGAGAGAGAGAGAGAGAGAGAGAGAGAGAGAGAGAGAGAGAGCAAAAUGGCAAUGAAUGAAACAGGGAGGAGGGGGAACUGUGUGUGAAUGAAAACAUCAUCUACGUGAAACAUUUGAUUGAUUAUAAAGCACAUGUGCAUCAUAUAUAGUCAUGAAUGUGGAGGAACAGCAGAGUGAGUGAUCAACCACAGAAAGGAGAGAGUCGGACAUGCGGAGAGAAUGGAAGGGGAACAAUUUGAGAAGAUAAGCAUGCAAAUACAUAAAUAUAAGGUGGAAUAACAGUGUUUGGUGGGAAGAUGAAAGAGAGAUGCCUGUUUAUGAAGCAAAAUGGUUGUGCAAGAGAGGAAUGAUUGGAAAACCAUUCCCACCAAAGCCAACAGACCUUACACCAUAUUUUUACAAACCACAGCAUCUCUAUUCAUCCAUUCUGUGUGUCUUCUCUUCUCUCUCUCUCUCCACUCUUAAUGCUGCUGUGGGUCUCUGGGCUGGAGUACAUCAGAGAAAGAUUGACACAGACUUAUAUAUGAGAGGAUGUUGUCUGUAACUAUGCUAUGGGGACAUUGCAAGUUUGUGGGGUGUAGUGAAUGAAUAAGUGUGUCCUCUAUAGCAUACUUAAAAACCACACUCUCACAUGGAAAUCAAUCUCUCUCUCUCUCUCUCUCUCUCUCUCUCUCUCUCUCUCUCUCUCUCUCUCUCUCUCUCUCUCUCUCUCUCUCUCUCUCUCUCUCUCUCUCUCUCUCUCUCUCUCUCUCUCUCUCUCUCUCUCUCUCUCUCUCUCUCUCUCUCUCUCACUACAGCCUACAGACUCACUAUUUCCUUAACCACACCUCUUGCCUGAAACAAAUUAAAAGUUUUUAUCCUUCUCCAAUCACAUUUCAAUUUUGUACUUAGUCACAAUCACACAGUAUAUGUUGUUAAUUUCAACUUUACUUUCAGGUUACCUUCUUGUUGAUGUGCAAUCUUGCUACGUGGGUGAUCAACAUUUAAAAAUAGCAAUGUGGUGCUUCCUUAAUGCAAAUAGUCUUGGCCCAAAAAACUUGUACACUAACUUCUCUUAAAUCUUACUAAAAUGUAUGCGCAUCACUUUCUGAUUUCAUCCCAAUGGCACACAAACCAAAAUACCUGAGUAUGGAGAUGGCUGGACUACCUCCUUUGGCCACCCCUGUUAUAUCUUAAUUUCCCACUGUCUUUCCUGUGUGCUGGUUAAGCUACUCACUGCUGAAGUCCCUGGAAACUAGGUAGAAUAAUUUAGAAUGACAUGGUUAAGUUAAUGCUGAUAAAAUCUCAUUUGUAAUAUUCAGGAAGAUUGAAUUAUUCUUCCUCUGUUGAAGCAAAUGAUAUAACAUUGACUAGAAGCUUUCACAAUAUUUAUAAGCUUUCUUGUAUCAGAGAUCUUUUGAAAAUCCAACCAUCAAUUUGUAAAUACUUGUAUAGUGUAGCUGGCAUGAGGGUUGCAGUCUUCAUUAUUUACUAGUGGACAAGCAACAAGUGAUGGUGUGGCUCUGAGCCACUGUAGUAGGGAUGUUAUGGUUUAAGUGUAGGAAGUUGCAAAUGCUCACCUAACAAUUGCACCUUAGUAGAAAAACACAAACAGGAAGUUUAUGCAAGUUUUUAUCCUUAUAUAAAAUGUUGUAUUGCAUCAAACCUCCAUACAUUACUGUCUCUAUCCAGUAUGAGACCGGUGUUCAGGAAGCACAAGCAUGUGCUGAAUAACAAGAAGCUGGCAUUGGUGAAGGUGACAACAUUUCAUCUAUUUAUACAUACUUUUUAUUAUUAAAGCUUAUCUUAUAAUUAUUUCUGAAGAGAUUGACUAAUUUUUGUAGUAUUUAUGACUUAGAACUAUGAUAAAGCUAUGAAUUGAUAUAAUUCCUGAUUUG